AACAUCGCGCACCUGCGGGAACCUGCGGAGGGAUCAUCGGUGAAUUUUUAUGGUUGUUUAUAAAAAAAAUAGACAACAAUCCCCCAAAUUCUGUGAACAAAAAGUUGUGAAUGUGUGGGGGUUUGGGGGAAGAAGCAAUCUUCUCCCUUUCCCCCUCAAAAACACAAACGAAAUCCUUUUUUUAAUUUUUUUUAUUAUAUUAUUAUUUAUAUAUAUAAUAUUAUAUAUAAUUAAUAAUAC
rnacentral:misc_RNA from 1 species